rnacentral:rRNA from 1 species
AACGAACGCUGGCGGCAGGCUUAACACAUGCAAGUCGAACGCCCGAGCAAUCGGGAGUGGCAGACGGGUGAGUAACACGUGGGAACAUACCCUUUGGUUCGGAACAACGCCGGGAAACUGGCGCUAAUACCGGAUAAGGCCUGUGGGCGAAAGAUUGAUCGCCGAAGGAUUGGCCCGCGUUCGAUUAGCUUGAUGGCGGGGUAACGGCCCACCAUGGCGACGAUCGAUAGCUGGUCUGAGAGGAUGGCCAGCCACAUUGGGACUGAGACACGGCCCAAACUCCUACGGGAGGCAGCAGUGGGGAAUAUUGGACAAUGGGCGCAAGCCUGAUCCAGCCAUGCCGCGUGAGUGAUGACGGCCUUAGGGUUGUAAAGCUCUUUCGCGCACGACGAUAAUGACGGUAGUGCGAGAAGAAGCCCCGGCUAACUUCGUGCCAGCAGCCGCUGUAACAC